rnacentral:rRNA from 1 species
AGCGGCGGACGGGUGAGUAACGCGUGGGUAACCUGCCUCAUACAGGGGGAUAACAGUUAGAAAUGACUGCUAAUACCGCAUAAGCGCACAGGACCGCAUGGUCAAGUGUGAAAAACUCCGGUGGUAUGAGAUGGACCCGCGUCUGAUUAGUUAGUUGGUGGGGUAACGGCCCACCAAGGCGACGAUCAGUAGCCGGCCUGAGAGGGUGAACGGCCACAUUGGGACUGAGACACGGCCCAAACUCCUACGGGAGGCAGCAG